rnacentral:lncRNA from 1 species
GCUGACCCUCCCCCCCAUCCGCAGGGCGCCUAUAAGUGCAGCAAUUAACGGCUCUGGCUUCUGAACAACCACUAAUGGAGCCUCUGGCGGGGGCCCAAGGCCCUGCUGCUGGGCGGGGGCAGGGCAGGAGAGUGCUUCUGGCAGGCCGUGGCUGGGCUGGGCUGGUUCUCCCUCUGCCCCACUUGGCAGAGUUCUUCUGAGAGGCCAUCUUGUCACUGCCCCCCAGCCCGGUGCGCCGCCAUUCCCCAGGCCACGCCUCUGCCCCAUGGGGGGUUAGACAAGGGGCCUCUCACCCUAGGCAGGAGCACGGCCACCCCAUGCCAGCCUCACCACCCAGAGCUGGGUGCGGUUGGACUCGUGCUGGCGCAGCGGGGCGUAUUCCCUACUCCUCUGUGUGCCCUUCCCCACCUGCUCUCCAGCCAGAGCCAUCUUCCCCUCCCGCACAGAGUCAGAACCCCCGUCACCCCCAGGUUUGGCUUUAUGAACAAAACCUCCCAACCAAAGAACAGCUCAGCCCUUCUGCCCAGGCUGGGCUGCUCCAAGGCUCCUCUCUCCAGCCUGCUCAGCCCGCACCCUAGAUCCUCUCUCCCCAGGGAGCCACUGCCCCGGCCCUAACACCCAGCAGGGUAAUGACCCUGCCUGGGGGAGUCACCAGCACCCACUUUCCUGGCUGACAAGUGGGGCUCAGGAAUGCCAGCGCCAGCCUCAAAAGUGCCUGCAGCCUCCUGCCCCAUCGGGCACUGGCUCCCAGAGAGGCUCAUUAGUGAUGUGCCCGCCUCCCUGGCUCAGCCAGGUCCCAGUGGAGCUGGGCAGUAAGUGCAGAAGGCUCAUGUGGGGAAGUCUUAAUGGCUGUGUGAGGGAGAGGCGCUUGCUGGGCCCGAGAUGGAGGCGGGGGCAGGAGGGGCCGUGGUUUCUGUUUCCUCAGACUGGAGCCUGAGCUGCCUCUGCCCAAGGAGCAGACGAGAAGAUGCUGCACAGACUCCUGCUGGGUGGCCUCCUCUGCACCACGCUGCCUACCAGCUUCCUCGGCACAGCCUCAGCCCGUAACCUGCAGCUCUGCGAGGGAUAUCCCAGCCCUGAUGGGCGCUACCACUCCGGCUUCUACUGCCCACGCCUCACUGACCCCCCUGCACACAGGUACUGCUGCCGCCAUGGAGACCACGCCCUCAAAUCCUGCUGCCCCCAGAUGGAGUUUGAGAGCCUGAGGAGGGUCAAUCUGUCCAACGUGCCCACCCCAGCCAGACUCAGGUAAGCAGCAGU